AUUUGAGUUUCACAUCUCUUAUGUGUACAUACAUCUUUGCCUAUAGUACAAUUUGUCCUCAAAUGCUACACAAAUACCAUAAAGUAGAUGACAGCAAGGAUAGAUGAUAAUCUGGAUUUAAGCACGUAACAUAGUUGUCCUCUAGCUUUGUACUAUUUGACUACUGAUUAUGGUGAUCUUGACAGGAUUGGGCAAAUGGACAGCCUGCCGAUUAAAAUAACUGAAAUAGACUAACAAUAUUAUGAACGACCGAAACUGUAAAUACAUUUUUUAGUUAGUCAACGGUCUACAGUACAGUAAAGGAAGAGUAUGAAAGAAAGAAAGAUGGCAGGUUCAGAAUACUUAUGUGUUAUUAUUCUUCUCUUUGCUUUCUUUGGUGGGAGAGGGCAGAGAGCAAAGAAGGAUGAUGAACAGUACCUUUCCUAAUUUCCACAAAUAAAUUAAAUACUAUCACUCCUCACACGAGGUGGCAAAAACGUGAGAUGGUAAACAGCGUACCUGGCCCUUCAUCACUUUCCUCUCCGAGAAGAAAAACAUCCAAAUCCUGGUCAGCAGUUGAUGAGGCUGCCUUCUUGUUUGCCUGGGUUGUUGCCCCGGUCACUGGUUCAGAAGUUUUUCCUUCUGAUGAAAUAUCCUUGGCGUCCUCGACAUUUGCCUUUUCAGCAGAUAUUAUUUUCUUUUCGUCCAUGUAUUUCUUUUCAUACGGUGCUAAAUGACUGUUAACUAGAAUGAAGUAGAUUCUCCAAAACUUUUUCUCUCUCAUUAUGCGUGGGCAUAUCUCAUACCUCAACUUUGAGAUUUCCUUGACAGAUGAAAGAACA
rnacentral:misc_RNA from 1 species